GCCAGUGUGGCUCAGUGGUAGAGCAUCUGAAGGAUCAUGGGUUUGAUUCCUGGUCAAAGGCA
rnacentral:tRNA from 1 species